rnacentral:rRNA from 1 species
GAUAAACGCUGGCGGCGUGCUUAACACAUGCAAGUCGAACGAUCAGGCCCAACUUUCUGGUUUGAGUUGUUGCCAACGGGCGGGUAAGACGCGAGUAAACUGCCCUUAUCUCUGACAUAAGCCUCUUAGACUAGCUCUAGUACCUGAUAGGAGCUUCUUCCACCUGCUUGGUGUUGGAAAGAUUUAUCGGCUUUGGAUGGACUCGCGACGUAUCAGCUUGUUGUUGAGGUGAUGGUUCACCAAGGCGACGACGGGUCGCCGGCCAGAGAGGGUGACCGGCGACACUGGGACUGAGACACGGCGCAGACUCGUACGGGAGGCAGCAGUGGGGAAUAUUGCACAAUGGGGGCAAGCCUGAUGCAGCGACGCCGCGUGAGGGAUGACGGCUUUCGGGUUGUAAACCUCUUUCAGUAGGGAAGAAGAGAAAGUGACGGUACCUGAAGAAGAAGCACCGGCUAACUACGUG